AUACAGAGGGUGCGAGCGUUAAUCGGAAUUACUGGGCGUAAAGCGCGCGUAGGCGGCUGAUUAAGUCAGAUGUGAAAUCCCCGGGCCCAACCUGGGAACUGCAUCUGAUACUGGUAAGCUAGAGUUUUGGAGAGGGAAGUAGAAUUUCAGGUGUAGCGGUGAAAUGCAUAGAGAUCUGAAGGAAUACCAGUGGCGAAGGCGACUUCCUGGCCAAAAACUGACGCUGAGGUGCGAAAGCGUGGGUAGCAAACGGGAUUAGAAACCCUAGUAGUCC
rnacentral:rRNA from 1 species